rnacentral:rRNA from 1 species
CCUACGGGUGGCAGCAGUGGGGAAUAUUGCACAAUGGGGGGAACCCUGAUGCAGCGACGCCGCGUGAGUGCCUCCGUCUUUCGGUAUGUCACGCUCUCUCAGCCGUUAAGAUAAUGACGGUACCUGACUAAGAAGCCCCGGCUAACUACGUGCCAGCAGCCGCGGUAAUACGUAGGGGGCAAGCGUUAUCCGGAUUUACUGGGUGUAAAGGGAGCGUAGACGGUUAUGCAAGUCUGAAGUGAAAGCCCAGGGCUCAACCAUGGGACUGCUUUGGAAACUGUACAACUGGAGUGCAGGAGAGGUAAGCGGAAUUCCUAGUGUAGCGGUGAAAUGCGUAGAUAUUAGGAGGAACACCAGUGGCGAAGGCGGCUUACUGGACUGUAACUGACGUUGAGGCUCGAAGGCGUGGGGAGCAAACAGGAUUAGAUACCCUGGUAGUC